AAUGGGUUCACGGUUCGUUUUUUUUCAACCAAUCACGUCUCCUGGUCUUCCUGCUCGUUCACGGCCCCGUGCGUGCACGAGCGUACAUUAUAAAGCGCGUCACCGUUGUUAGAGGAAGCCUGGAAGUAGACAACAGAAUGGCGGAGAAAGUACCUAUUCCACGUUUACUGGUAACGUCUUGCCCUGCUAAGCAGGCCAAGAAAAGAAAGACGUUUUUAGAAAAAGCUGCAAAAAAGAGGUCUUUGGAUUUAGCGAGAGGAAAGACAAAAAUCUGCAUCGGAACAUCUUUUGAACUUUGGCGACGAUUGAAGGAGGACAAGGGCCUGAAAACUGAUGCUAUGGUUGCUGAAUUACUUUUGGACAGAUGGAUAUCAAGUGUGCAGAAUGCCUCCAGCACUGAUGAUGCAGAAGGGACUGAACAGCAUGUUAUCAACAGUGGAACAGAUGCAGCACUGUUUAAAGCCAGAGCCAAGCUGGCUAUGUCUUUGAAAUCGUCCAAAGUGGAGAAAAAGCUUUGCCAUGCAUCGUGCCAGACGGACCCAGUGCAAAUUUUACCAAAUAAUGCCAGAGUUAUCUUGCUGGGCACGGACUUUCCUCCUCUUUUUGUAAAAGCAGCAGAUCUACAGGGCACAACUCAUAACCGCAACUAUCAGAGCUCGGAUCAAAGCACCCAACCUAACCCCACCUUGAUUCAGGAUACAUGUAUUACCACCGCAUUUAGUCAAGGGAUCAAAUCCAAACCACCAACAUUUGGUCAAGAGAUUAAAUCUGAACCACAAACAUUUGGUCUAGAAAUUAAACCUGAACCACCAACAUUUGGUCAAGAGACUAAACCUGAACCACCAACAUUUGGUCAAGAGAUUAAAUCUGAACCACCAACAUUUGGUAUCGAGAUUAAAUCUGAACCACCAACAUUUGGUCUAGAGAUUAAAUCUGAACCACCAACAUUUGGUCUAGAGAUUAAAUCGGAAACACUAACCUACAAUAGCUUCUCUGAUCCUUCAGUCUUCCACAGCAUCUCCACUUGUAGAAACAGCAUCUGAGUACAAUAAUCAAUUUGGUUGAAGGAUGGGCUCUUCUUCUGUGGUGACCACAACAUAUCUGCCUUUGUUUGUGAAUGUCAUCUACAUCAGCCUGUAUUGGCUGAAAAGAGUCACUUUAGAAGUUUUAUGUUAAGAUGUGAUACACACCAGCUGUGCUGACAUUCAACCUCACAAAAAUGUAUGCCACUGUAUUUUUAUAUUGUUUCAUGAUGUUAUCAGGUGAUAUGACAGCACCGUGUGUCAGUCAAACAGCAAACAAAACAUGCAAAUGUUUAAAAAGUCAGUCCUUGCUGUUUAUGUCUAAAGCUAGCACAAACCUCUACCCCAGAGGCCCACAAGCACGUCCGCCUC
rnacentral:lncRNA from 1 species